AUACGUAGGUGGCGAGCGUUGUCCGGAAUUACUGGGCGUAAAGGGCGCGUAGGCGGCUUUUUAAGUUAGAUGUGAAAACCCGGGGCUUAACUUCGGGCGUGCAUUUAAAACUGGAGAGCUUGAGUGCAGGAGAGGUAAGUGGAAUUCCUAGUGUAGUCGGUGAAAUGCGUAGAUAUUAGGAGGAACACCAGUGGCGAAGGCGACUUACUGGACUGUAACUGACGCUGAGGCGCGAAAGCGUGGGGAGCAAACAGGAUUAGAUACCCUGGUAGUCCACGCUGUAAACGAUGGAUACUAGGUGUGGGAGGUAUCGACCCCUUCCGUGCCGCAGUUAACGCAAUAAGUAUCCCGCCUGGGGAGUACGGCCGCAAGGUUGAA
rnacentral:rRNA from 1 species